GACGAACGCUGGCGGCGUGCUUAACACAUGCAAGUCGAACGGAAAGGCCCUGCUUGCAGGGUACUCGAGUGGCGAACGGGUGAGUAACACGUGGGUGAUCUGCCCUGCACUUCGGGAUAAGCCUGGGAAACUGGGUCUAAUACCGGAUAGGAGCCAUUUUUAGUGUGAUGGUUGGAAAGUUUUUUCGGUGUAGGAUGAGCCCGCGGCCUAUCAGCUUGUUGGUGGGGUAAUGGCCUACCAAGGCGGCGACGGGUAGCCGGCCUGAGAGGGUGGACGGCCACAUUGGGACUGAGAUACGGCCCAGACUCCUACGGGAGGCAGCGGUGGGGAAUAUUGCACAAUGGGCGCAAGCCUGAUGCAGCGACGCCGCGUGGGGGAUGACGGCCUUCGGGUUGUAAACUCCUUUCGCUAGGGACGAAGCUUUUUGUGACGGUACCUAGAGAAGAAGCACCGGCUAACUACGUG
rnacentral:rRNA from 1 species